GACGAACCGUGCGAACGUUGUUCGGAAUCACUGGCUUAAAGGGCGCGUAGGCGGGUUCUCAAGUCCGGGUGAAAGCCCCAGCUCAACUGGGAAGUGCCUUGGAUACUGGGCCUCGAGGGAGGUAGGGCGUGCGGAACUUCCGGUGGAGCGGUGAAAUGCGCAGAUAUCAGGAAGAACACCCGUGGCGAAGGCGGCUCUCUGGGACGGUACUGACGCUGAGACGCGAAAGCGUGGGAGCGAACAGG
rnacentral:rRNA from 1 species